GCCGGCGGUGCUCGGGGCGGUGGGGCCGGGUCCGUUCCGGCUGGUGGCGAACCUGCCGUACGGCGCGGCGACGCCGGUG
rnacentral:tRNA from 1 species